rnacentral:rRNA from 1 species
UUGGAGGGCAAGUCUGGUGCCAGCAGCCGCGGUAAUUCCAGCUCCAAUAGCGUAUAUUAAAGUUGCUGCAGUUAAAAAGCUCGUAGUUGAAUUUCGGGACUAUAUGUCGGUCGUGCCUCGGUACGUACUGGUAUUGUUGGUUUCUCCCUUCUGACGAACCAUGAUGUCAUUUAUUUGGUGUUGUGGGGAAUCAGGACUGUUACUUUGAAAAAAUUAGAGUGUUUAAAGCAAGCUAACGCUUGAAUACAUUAGCAUGGAAUAAUGAAAUAGGACGUUCGAUCCUAUUUUGUUGGUUUCUAGGAUUGACGUAAUGAUUAAUAGGGAUAGUUGGGGGCAUUAGUAUUCAAUUGUCGGAGGUGAAAUUCUUGGAUUUAUUGAAGACUAACUACUGCGAAAGCAUUUGCCAAGGAUGUUUUCAUUAAUCAAGAACGAAAGUUAGGGGAUCGAAGACGAUCAGAUACCGUCGUAGUCUUAACCAUAAACUAUGCCGACUAGGGAUCGGAUGAUGUUAAUUUUUUAAUGACUCAUUCGGCGCCUUACGGGAAACCAAAGUGUUUGGGUUC